GAUGAACGCUGGCGGCGUGCCUAAUACAUGCAAGUCGAGCGAACGGACGAGAAGCUUGCUUUUCUGAUGUUAGCGGCGGACGGGUGAGUAACACGUGGAUAACCUACCUAUAAGACUGGGAUAACUUCGGGAAACCGGAGCUAAUACCGGAUAAUAUUUUGAACCGCAUGGUUCAAAAGUGAAGGACGGUCCUGCUGUCACUUAUAGACGGAUCCGCGCUGCAUUAGCUAGUUGGUAAGGUAACGGCUUACCAAGGCAACGAUGCAUAGCCGACCUGAGAGGGUGACCGGCCACACUAGAACUGCGACACGGUCCAGACUCCUACGGGAGGCAGCAGUAGGGAAUCUUCCGGAAUGGGCGAAAGCCUGACGGAGCAACGCCGCGUGAGUGAUGAGGGUCUUCGGAUCGUAAAACUCUGUUAUUAGGGAAGAACAUAUGUGUAAGUAACUGUGCACAUCUUGACGUUACCUAAUCAGAAAGCCACGGCUAACUACGUG
rnacentral:rRNA from 1 species